rnacentral:rRNA from 1 species
GACGAACGCUGGCGGCGUGCCUAAUACAUGCAAGUCGAGCGGACCGGAUUGGGGCUUGCCUUGAUUCGGUCAGCGGCGGACGGGUGAGUAACACGUGGGCAUCCUGCCCGCAAGACCGGGAUAACUCCGGGAAACCGGAGCUAAUACCGGAUAACACCGAAGACCGCAUGGUCUUCGGUUGAAAGGCGGCCUUUGGGCUGUCACUUGCGGAUGGGCCCGCGGCGCAUUAGCUAGUUGGUGAGGUAACGGCUCACCAAGGCGACGAUGCGUAGCCGGCCUGAGAGGGUGACCGGCCACACUGGGACUGAGACACGGCCCAGACUCCUACGGGAGGCAGCAGUAGGGAAUCUUCCGCAAUGGGCGAAAGCCUGACGGAGCGACGCCGCGUGAGCGAAGAAGGCCUUCGGGUCGUAAAGCUCUGUUGUGAGGGACGAAGGAGCGUCGUUCGAAGAGGGCGGCGCGGUGACGGUACCUCACGAGAAAGCCCCGGCUAACUACGUG